rnacentral:rRNA from 1 species
AACGAACGCUGGCGGCAUGCCUAACACAUGCAAGUCGAACGAGACCUUCGGGUCUAGUGGCGCACGGGUGCGUAACGCGUGGGAACCUGCCCUUAGGUUCGGAAUAACUCCCCGAAAGGGGUGCUAAUACCGGAUAAUGUCUUCGGACCAAAGAUUUAUCGCCUUUGGAUGUGCCCGCGUUGGAUUAGCUAGUUGGUAGGGUAAAAGCCUACCAAGGCGACGAUCCAUAGCUGGUCUGAGAGGAUGAUCAGCCACACUGGGACUGAGACACGGCCCAGACCGGGACGCGAGGUAGAGGGGGAAGGGGUGGGAGGGGGGAGCGAAGAGAGAUAGGGCAGUGUUGGGUGAGUGAAGUUGGUCUUGGGGGAGUAAAGUUUUGUGACCUGAGAAGAUAGCGACAGGACAGAGAAAGACGCCGCCGGCAAGCGCAGUGCCGUCAGAGGGGGAAAGAAAAAAGAGAGCACCAGUCAACCC